UACGAAGGGGGCUAGCGUUGCUCGGAAUCACUGGGCGUAAAGGGCGCGUAGGCGGAUGGCACAGUCAGAUGUGAAAUUCCCGGGCUUAACCUGGGGGCUGCAUUUGAUACGUGUGAUCUAGAGUGAGGAAGAGGGUCGUGGAAUUCCCAGUGUAGAGGUGAAAUUCGUAGAUAUUGGGAAGAACACCGGUGGCGAAGGCGGCGACCUGGUCCUUGACUGACGCUGAGGCGCGAAAGCGUGGGGAGCAAACAGG
rnacentral:rRNA from 1 species